UACGGGGGGGGCAAGCGUUGUUCGGAAUUACUGGGCGUAAAGGGCUCGUAGGUGGCCAACUAAGUCGGACGUGAAAUCCCUCAGCUUAACUGGGGAACUGCGUCUGAGACUGGCGAGCUUGAGGGCAGGAGAGGAGCGCGGAAUUCCAGGUGUAGCGGUGAAAUGCGUAGAUAUCUGGAGGAACACCGGUGGCGAAGGCGGCGUUCUGGACUGCAUCUGACACUGAAAGACGAAAGCCAGGGGAGCAAACGGG
rnacentral:rRNA from 1 species